rnacentral:rRNA from 1 species
UGGGGAAUAUUGCACAAUGGGCGCAAGCCUGAUGCAGCCAUGCCGCGUGUGUGAAGAAGGCCUUCGGUUGUAAGCACUUUCAGCGAGGAGGAAGGGUAGUGUGUUAAUAGCACAUUGCAUUGACGUUACUCGCAGAAGAAGCACCGGCUAACUCCGUGCCAGCAGCCGCGGUAAUACGGAGGGUGCAAGCGUUAAUCGGAAUUACUGGGCGUAAAGCGCACGCAGGCGGUUUGUUAAGUCAGAUGUGAAAUCCCCGCGCUUAACGUGGGAACUGCAUUUGAAACUGGCAAGCUAGAGUCUUGUAGAGGGGGGUAGAAUUCCAGGUGUAGCGGUGAAAUGCGUAGAGAUCUGGAGGAAUACCGGUGGCGAAGGCGGCCCCCUGGACAAAGACAUGACGCUCAGGU